rnacentral:rRNA from 1 species
CGCAUCUGUGCAUGCAGCAUAUCAAUAAGCGGAGGAAAAGAAACUAACAAGGAUUCCCCUAGUAACGGCGAGUGAAGCGGGAAGAGCUCAAAUUUGAAAUCUUAAAGGGUUUCCCUUUACGAAUUGUAGUUUAAAGAAGUGUUUUCUGUUGAGGUUUUGGUAAAAGUUCUUUGGAAUAGGACAUCAUAGAGGGUGAGAAUCCCGUAUUUGACCUUUACUUUCAACUUUGUGAUACACUUUCAAAGAGUCGGAUUGUUUGGGAAUGCAGUCCAAAAUGGGUGGUAAAUUUCAUCUAAAGCUAAAUAUUGGCGAGAGACCGAUAGCGAACAAGUACCGUGAGGGAAAGAUGAAAAGAAACUUUGAAAAGAGAGUUAAACAGUACGUGAAAUUGUCAAAAGGGAAGCGUUUGACACCAGUGUUGUUUUUCUGAAAAUCAAUUAAAGAACUGUUUAUGCUAAGCUGUUUAGACUUUAUCAGCUAACUGUUUAGUUUUGAGCUUUUCUUAAUGCACUUUUCAGUUAACAAGUCAACAUCAAUUUCUUUUGCUGUAAAAAAGCUUGAGGAAGGUGGCUUGAGAUUCGUCUUAAGUGUUUAUAGCCUCUUGCCUAUGCAGUCGGAGAGAUUGAGGUCUGCAGCGUAGAUCCUUCGGGGCUAAAUGCAUUUGUGCUAAGUUAUAGCAUUUUAUAGACAACUUGUUGACUAUGAUUUGUCUUGUAGCUUACUCGCUUAUGUUAUUUUACCUACGCUUAGGAUGUUGAGCGCAUGUCUCUCUCU